rnacentral:rRNA from 1 species
GAUGAACGCUGGCGGAGUGCCUAAUACAUGCAAGUCGAGCGAACGGACGAGAAGCUUCCGUCUCAGAUGUUAGCGGCGGACGGGGGCGUAACACGUGGCUAACCUACCUAUAAGACUGGGCUAACUUCGGGAAACCGGAGCUACUACCGGACGAUAUUUUACACCGCAUGGUUCAAAAGUGAAAGACGGUCUUUCUGUCACUUAUAGAUGGAUCCGCGGUGCAUUAGCUAGUAGGUAAGGUAACGGCUUACCAAGGCAACGAUGCAGAGCCGACCUGAGAGGGCGCUGGGCCGCAUGGGAGCGGAGACACGGACAGGACUCCUACGGGAGGAAGCAGGAGGGAAUCUCGCGGGAUGGGCGCAGGUCUGACGGAGCAAGGCCGCGUGAGUGAUGAAGGUGUUCGGAUCGUAAAACUCUGUUAUUAGGGAAGAACAUAUGUGUAAGUAACGGUGCACACUUUGACGGUACCUAAUCAGAAAGCCACAGCUAACUACGUG